GGGCCAUUAGCUCAGUUGGCUAGAGCACCUGACUUUUAAUCAGGGUGUCCCAGGUUCGAGUCCUGGAUGGCUCACCA
rnacentral:tRNA from 1 species